UAUGGAAAAGUACAGAGAGCUGGAGUGGGAGGAGGAGGAAAUAUUAAAAUGUAGAAACAUAGAAAAAGUUAUUGCUGAUCUCCAUGCAUGUUAGUCGAGGUUAGUACCAGAAGGGACUAAAGAUCUCUUAGGGGAAGUAAAACACAUUAAUAAAGACAAUCUUUAAAAGGAUGUGUUCCCCAACCUUUCAGCAGUAAAGCUGUCUGAACAAGGCUAAGAAAUCUUUCACAUGAAAACAGCUGAGGAGCAGAGGCGCCAGGAGAAUUUUUCCAGUGAUUGGUGGAACGUAACCUUGAAAGUCUACCUUGUCAGUUCUUGAGAUUGGGGUUCUUCAGGCUUCAUCUUGGCUUAUUUCCCUGCUGGGAAUCAGAGAUAGAAACAAAUGAAGCAUCAGGUUGAAAACAGAAGUGCAAAACAGUCACAGGAAACACAACCCAUACAUCAUACCAGCAGCCGGAGGAAAGCCCCCGCCCACCAGAGACAACCAGGCAACAAGCUGGGGCCACGCAACUCUCAUACCUUUCCCAGCUUCGCAGAUAAUUAAGAAACAGCGGUGACCUAGUACCUAGGAACUAAUCAGAACUUACAGUAAUAACUUUUUCCAACCACGGAUCUUGGUAGAGCUUCUUACAGGUGAUCCUUGUCACCCGGCAAAAUAGUUGCCUCUCAUUAUCAAGAAACAGAAGGAGAAACAAAACGACCAGAGAACUCACCAUCCACUCAGGCAUGUGAAAGCUGAGGUGCCCUCAUUACCGUCCCACUUCUCCAUAGUGCAGGCUUGGGUCUGGUUUCAGGAAGAAACAGGAUGCCAGUGCAGUAGCCCUGUACACUAUCACCUUAAAGGACCUCCGAAGUUGUUUCUGCUUUAUGUCUCCAUACCAACUGCCUCCUUGCUGCACACUUCAGAAGUUUGGAAAUAAGACAUAACUAGAAAAAAGGUAAGCUAGCCUAUCUCACCUGCUUAGUUCAUUCCUAGAGUAUAUUAUCCAGUAAGAGUACCACAGGUUUCAGGCAUGAAGGAAGUCUAACAAGAUAUGCCUGCUUUGGUCCCUUUAAGGACCAGGACUCUUUUUUUUUUUUUGAGACGGAGUCUCACUCUGUCGCCCGGGCUGGAGUA